AAAAAAGGAGGGUAUUUAGGUAUUCCCUGGAAAAGAAGUUUUUUAGAGUAGCAGGGGUGAUGCUAGACUCUAGAUUAAUGACGUCGGGGAGAUUUGGGCUAUCCAUGGAAGAAUGAAGAGCGUACCUUGAAAAUAAUGAAGGCAGGAGAACGGAGCUAGCAAUGCGCACGAAGAACAGAGGAAAGCAAGAGUUUGGAGAAGACUGAGAGAAUUCGAAAUUUGAAACAAUAAUAAGACGAAAAGAUGUUUUGAGGAGAAUUGUCCUUGGGCGGCGCGGUCAUAAUGACUCUCGAUAUUUACCCCCUCAUCAUUCGUGCAAUAACUGAUGAAAAGGUAAAGGGGCAAUUGAUGACCGCUGGAUUUCACCAUCCUGUUACGAGGCUGAGCUCAUAACGACAGUCCCCAUUUUAAGGCCUCUAAGUCUUCUUAAUGGGCCGGCCCAGUCCGUUCGGUCCUAAGAUCAGACCUCCCCUGGGCUUCAGUCUUAAUCUCAUCCUCCAGUCCAGUUCGGAGGAGAAGAAGUAGCCAGCCCAUCCGCCUAGUGGGUCCAUCCGCAUGCGUGCCAGGAGAGAAUUAAAUGGUCGUUACGCAUGAAGCAGAUAUCUGAUAUUCUCUUACGUCCGUAUCCGUAUGGUAGAGAUAGUUGGCCCAAUGGCAGCGAGACCGUUACACGUCACUGACAGAUAAAGGAAAAAAAUAAAAGGGGGGAAACAUUCUCCUCUCGGACCAAGUUCACUCAACCCUUGUAAAAUCUUAUUUUUUGGAUAUCAGAUCAUCAAUUUUUAUUUUAAAAUUUUUUUUAUUAAAAAUAAAAAGUGGGGUCAAGUGACCCCACUCCAGAAGUAGAAACCGGCUAUGGUCAAGAGUCUUGCUCUUCUUCACCUACCGAUGUAAGGAGAAAAAACACAUGCAAUGGUAUAAUAUGGUAAUGAAAAAUGUGAACUGAAUCUUGAAAGAGAAUUUAGAAGAAUUGAAUAACAAGACAGAGCUGUUUGUUCUUUGUACAUGUUCAACUAAUUGAUUUCCCACGUAUUAGUCAAUUAGACUUAAUUUUAUCCCUUUGUCUAACCAACUUGAAACAAUUAUUACAACAUUGGCAACACUUGCAAGAAGACCUCAAAUUUGACACGUUUCUUUUAUUUAUUUAUUGUGUAAAUCUAAUUUUGUAUCUCGAGUCGUCUUCUAGUAGCUAGCUACCUUAUAUUUUUCAAAAAGAAUCUACAAAUAUUCAAUCAUGUGUACAUUGGAUGUGAACCCUUUUAUAAUUCAUUUUCUAUUCAGCUAGAUACUAAGUAAAUAAUAUUAUAAUAAAUAAUUUUAAAAAAAUAAAAUUACUUACUAAAUCCAUAUUAUUACUAGACGUCAUAUUUAUAUAAAAAUUGAAAUUUAAUUAAAAUUUAUUAAAUUAAAAAUUUUUUUAAUUAUUUUUAAUGAUUUAAUGUAUCAGCUCAGAUAACGUGAUACAUCAAAAUAUUUAAUAAAUUACUGUUGAAAAAGGAAAUAGUGACUGAGAAGAGGGGUAAAAAUAAUAAAAAAUAAUUUUUUAAAAUAUUCUAGAAGAGUAUAUCUAGAGUAAAAAAAUAUUUUCUUAAAUAAUAAUUAGAAAGCAUUAAAAUUAAAUUAAUUUUUUUUUAUGAAACAGAGAAAGCAAAUAUAAUUAAUUGGACCCAAGAGAUUGAUAUUUUGGUAAUUAAUUAAGGACAGCAGUAAUUGAGAGAAAAUAAUAUGAAAUUGUAUAUAAUAAUUAAUAAAAUUUAGGGUUUAUUAUCCUUCAAAAUCUGACGAUUUGAAAAAUAAUUUACAACAAUUUUCUUAAUUAAAUUGAAAAUGGAAGUAAAAAAAUUGUCCUUUUCAGAAUUGGUAAUUGUGGUGGAUAAGCUUAGGAGUUAAGAUAAUUCAUGACUCUGUGUGAUAUUGGCAAAAAAUGACCAUCUCAUGAUGCACAUGUAAUUCACCCUUCAUUUCAUAUUUACUCGAUAUGCCAUAGGAAUUAAAUUAUUUAUAAUAUAAAAAUAUACACAUAACUAAUAAUUUAACAUAUUAUAACCAAUUUAAUUCUUGUUUGCAAUAGCAUUGUAUUUGUAUAUUUUUGUAAUUAUAAAUAAAUUAUAUAUAUAUAGUUAAUUUGAAGAUGAAAAUUCUAUAAUUAAUAAAUAUUAAAUAAAAAAUUUAAAUUUUUAUCACUUUUUAUAUUUAUAUUCUAACAUUAAAAUAUUAGAUAAUAAAAUCAAUUUUUCAUAUUUACUUCUAUUUUAGCUAUUUGCCAUUAAUCAAUUUUAGUAAAAAAAUUUUAAUUCACAUGUCAUGACAUUUAUAAUUUUUUUUAAAGACAUAUUGAAUAAAAGAAAUUAAAACUUUUAAGUUAAUUCGUAUUUAUAUCUAAAAUUUUAAAUUUUAAAUAAUAAAACUAAAAUUUUUUUAUUUUAUCUCAAUUAUAAAUAAAAAAAAUAUUUGAAUAUGAAAAUUAUUAAAAAAUUAUAAUAUAGUAUUUAAAAUUUUAUUAGACUAUAAAAUAGUUUUUAAAAUAUAUAUUUUUAUUUCAACAAUAUCUUUUUUUUAUUAAUCUCAUUAUUUAUUUUUCAUUCUCUUUUUUAUAUAUAUUGUAGUUUAAUAAAAAUUUAAAAUAUUUUAUUUUAUUAAAUAUUAUUGAUAUAAAAUAUAAUUUUUUUGUCAAAUUAACUAAUAAUUUAAUAUACAUUACAAAUAUAAUUAUUUUAUAAAUAAAUAAAACAAAAAUAUUAAAUAUCUAAAAUAACCUAUAAAAAAUAUAGUUAAUAUAUCUAAAUUUUUAUAAAAAUUAUAAAAAGAUAACUUCACAUAGUAAAAUAUAUAUAUAUUUAAUAUUAUUAAUGUAAAAUAUAAUUUUUUAUAUACUAAAAAUAUAUAUAUAUAAUUUAUAAUAAUAAAUAUAAAUUUUCAAUGAAAUAUUUUAAUAUAUAAUAUUUAUAUGUGAUAUUUUAAUAUAAAAUUUAAAUUAAUAUAAAAUUUUUGAGAUUAUAUUAUAAUUUAUUAUUAAUUGAAAUAAAUGUAAAGGAAUUAAUUAAAUUAUAUAAAAUUUUUAAAUUGAAAUAUAAUUAUAACAAAUAUUAAACAUUUAAAUUUAUUUUUUCCAAUAAACGAAAAAUGUAAUAUGCUUUGACCACGCUUGUAAACAGGACGCUGAAGUUUAAGAAGCGAAGGUUUGUGGUUGACCCCAAGUUGAGUCCAUGGCCGCCAGUGGAUGAGGAUGAUGCAAUCCAUGAUCUUAUCUCCACCAUCAAACGCUAGUGAUUCAUCAUACACAUGGGCCACCACAUGAUUGUAUCAUCUUAUUACUAUUUAUCAUGUUGAUUUAUCCGCUUGCAUGUCUAAGGAAUUUUUGGUUUUACAAUGCAGCAGCUUAAGCGCAAACCUCAUAUGAUAUGGCCAUUGUAGCCCAUAAAGAUAAUUUAAUAAUAAAAAUAUUUCUUUUAAUAUUUAGCAUUUCAAAUAAAAAUUUAAUGAAUACUUACUUUAUUUUAACUUACAACUUCAUUUAAAAAAAAAAAAAAAAAAAUUCUAAAUCGCUCUUACCAAUACGAUUACAUAGAAGAAACCUUCCUCUUGCGUAAGGGAGUUGAACCCUCUUUAUUCGAUCACUGAUUAAGAGGAAUAUUAUUAAGCUUUUCAACACGUUGAUGCAAAUUUAAAUAAAUUAAAAUUUUAAUAUUUAUAUAAAUUAAAUUAGUCUAUUUGAUUGAUUAAAUUUUUUAGUAAAUUUUUUUAUUUUUUAUAUUUUAUUUUUAAUAUUUUAAGAUUUAAUUAAAAUAUUCUAACUAUAGUCUAAUUCUUUUUAUAUUAUAAAAAAUAAUAUAUUAUUAUCACUUUUUAAUUAGUAAAAUUAAACUGAAUUAAAAUAAUUAAAAAUUUUAAAAUUAAAAUUCAAAUCGAAUUGAAAUAAUAAAAAAUUAAAUUAAAAUUUUAAAAUAAUUCAAUUCAAUCAAACUUUUUAAUUUGAAUUAAAUAUGACUCACCUAAUUUUACGAAAGAAAUAUAAAAUUUUAGUUAAAUAUAAUAAUAGAAAUUCAUCGAGUUUAUUCUUUUAAGUUUCGAGCUUGAAUUUUUAAUUAGAGUUAAUUGUAAAUAAAAAAAUAUUAUUAAAUAAAAAAUAUUUCAGUGAAGUGACAUGAACCAUACAAAAAUCAAGUGAUGGUAUGAUAUAUUGAAUUUUUUUUUUUCUCUUUUAUAUUUGGAAGAAUUGUACUCAUUCUUGGUGAAAGAGAGGAUAUAGCAAGAUAGCUUAGAUAAAAAAAAAAUUUAAAAGUGAAUUUAUAUAUAUCUUUUAUAUUCGUUUUAUAAAUUGCAUAAGCCAAAAUAAUUGAAAUUAUUUGAAAUAAAUGAAUUAAAAUUUUUUUAAAUAAUGCAAUAAAUUUAAAUUUCAAUAGCAUUCUUUAUAUGCUGUUAAUAAUUUUAAAUAUAUAUAUAACUAAUGAAAAUUAUCGUUAAACAUUUCAUGAUGUGUAUAAAUCCUAUAAUUUAAUUAAAUUUUGAUUAAAAAUUUAUUAUAUUUUAUAUAUUUACCAUCAAAGCGUAUUAUAUUUCUUGAUGUUAUUUAUUAUGUAAAUCAUUUAGUUGUGUUUAAUUAUCUACCAUUUAAUUAAUAUGUAUGUAUAAUUUUUUUAUUUACGAUAAUAAAUAUUAUUAAAAAUAUAAAUAAUUUUAUAAUCGAUUUUAAUGGAUUUACAAUAAAUUUAUAAAAUAAUAUUAAUAUUUUUAAUGAAUUUAUGAUUAUUUUUGUUAAAAUGAUCUUUCUAUUUUCAAUAGUAAUUUUUCGUCUUUAAUUAUUUCUGACAGAUUAGCGAUAGAUUGAUUAUCGGAUGAAUUUAGAUUUUUUGAUGAAUUUAAUGAUGAAUAAAAUUUAUCACUAAUAUUUUUUGAUGGAAUAAUCAGUCAAAAUUCUGUUGCAAAUAUUUUUGAUAUAUUUUAAAUUGUUAAAAAUCUGUUACAUAUUAGCGAUAAAAUUUUAAGUGACGAAUUUUAAUUUAUAGAAAAUCAUCGCCGAAAGUGUUAGGUGCGGAUUUUAGACUAUCAGCGAUCAAAUUUUCCGUCUAACGGAUAGUCCGUUUUUUAUAAUGAUACAUAUUUAAAAGUUUUAGUUAAAUUAAUUUUAAAUAAUUUUUUUUUUCUUUAUGUAUUUUUCAAAUUCAAUAUAAAUAACUUAUUCUGCACAAUCUCGGACACACAUAUACAAUCAGAACUAUUCUUUUUUUUUUUUUUUUUUGUGGGAGCUUUAAUUUAUUCUCAUCUUAAAAACAGACCAAAAGAAUAUGGAAUUUUAGUUAAAUAUAAUAACGGAAAUUAGAUAAAAUCAUGACUAAAAAUUAUCAGCAUAUAUUUAUUGUCUAUAAAAUUUAUAAUUUAUAACUUUUAAUAAAAAAUUUAUAUUAAUUUAUAACCACUAUAUAUUAUUUAUUAAUUUAUAAAUUAUUUUAAUAUUAAAAUGUAUUAUAUUUCUUGAUCUUAUUUAUUGUGCAACUAUUUUAUAUAAAAUAAUGUUAAAAAAUAUUCAUUGGAGCCUUCUAAUUGGAGGCAUAAUAUAAUAUUCAUUAUAUUUAUCAUUAAAACUAAUAUUAAGUUUGUUUCAAUUUUAAUUCUUAAAAUUUUGUAAAAUUUAAUUAAAUUUUAUAUUUUAUGUUUCUAGUUUGAAGAGAUAUUAAAAUUAGUAUUAAGAAUUCAAUUUUAUGGAAUUGGUUAUAAUUAAAAAAUUAAUUCUUUCAAAUUUUGAUAAAAUUUGAAAUAUUAUAUAAUAAUAUUUUAUAAACUAACAUGUUCAUAAUAAAAAUUUUUCUUUCUAUUAUCAUUUAUUUUAUUAGUUGAUUAAAUAAAUAGUUAAAAAUUAAUAAAUAAUUAAAAAAUAUUGAUGAUUACAAUAAAUGAUUAAAAUUUAUUUUAAUAAAUAAUUAUAUUUUUAAUUUUACUAUUAUUUUAUAAACAUUAAAUAAAAAUAAUAGUAUUACAUAAUCAGUCGUCUACCUUGAACCUUCAAAUUCUCUGAAUAUAUUUUGAUAUCAACUCUCAUAUUAAUUUAUUUUUAUUUUAUCAAUAUAUUAUUAAUAAAUUUAUAUUUUUAUUUAUUAUUACUAUUAUAAUAAAUUUAUUAUGAAUAAUUUUUUUUAUAAUAAAAAAUUAUAUAUAUAUACACUUUAUUCUUAGGGUAAUUUAGAGAGUAAAUAAAUUUCAAUUCUAAAAUUAAAUCAAACAAAAAUUAUGUAAAAUUAAAUUGAAUUCUACAUUUUUAAGUUAUAUUAAAUUAAAUAAUGAAAUUUAUUUCAAAUAAAUUUUAUUCAUAAUUUAAUUGAAUUAUAUAUAAUUUUAGUCAUAAAAUUAAACAGGAGAAUAUAUAUCAAUUACUUGUAUAAGGCACACAUUAGGUUCAUAUAAUAAGGGGAAAUCACAGCAGGAAGAUUAUAAUCCUCCCAUGGUUUUACACACACAGAAACCAAAAAAACCCAAAAGAAAAAAAAAAAAAAAAGGUGGAAAUUACAUUACAUGUUAAUUAUUGAGGAUGGCAAGAACACCAUUUAUUUAUUCCUCCCAUUUCCAGUGAUUAGAAACUUCAAACUUUUUCUUUUUGACAAAGAAAAAAUUUACCUAACAUUAAACCCAAGGUUGUAAGCAUAUUUGACGAGAUCAUCAAUCUCUGACAUGUCGAUAACUCCAUCUCCAUUAGCAUCAGAAAAUUUGAUCCCUUGACGGGCCCUAUAAGCAGGGAACAUAGCUCCAAGAUAAUUGAAAGCUUGUCUGAUCUCUUCUCUGCUAAGAACAUUGUCUCCAUUUAAAUCGAACUUCAUGAAAACUUGCCUCACUUGUUCUUCAGUGAAGGGAACAGGAGCAUCUUUGUAUUUGUUCACACGGAAGGGAUUCACCGCCAUAUGAUAUUGACGUGGUGCCGGUGGCGGUGGUGGUGGUGGAUUGUUUGCAAACCAAACACCUUGUGGAGGAGGAGGAGGAGGUGGAGGUGGUCCCCAGAAAGACUGAGACCUGUCAUAAUAGAUUGGCGGCUUUUCUUCAUACAUUGGCUGAUUGUAUGGAGAAGGAUAAGGAACAACGUUAUAGUCUUGGGUAUAGCAGCGAUCGUAGUACAUGAUUUUCAAGUGGCGAGGAUAAUAACUGGAGCAGGUUUUGAGUUUGAAGUUUUGUUUGAACUUGGGAUGGAUUUGAAUCCAUGAAAGCAAUCUUAUUUAUAAGCUGCUUCAGGGUGUUUUUUUUUUUUUUUUUUUCCACUUGAAUGAAUAAUGUUCUAACUUAUCUUACCAGGAAUAAUUAAAUCUUUCCUUCAAGUGGGAAUCUCUUUUUUAUGUUAUUAAAUAUGCUGCGGUUAAAUUUAAAUUAGAUUUCAUAUCAGUAUGAAUAUAAAAAUUGUACACAAUGUUAUAAAAUACUAUUUAAAUAUAAAAUUGAAUCAUAGACUCUAAAAUGAAAAUUCUUAUAAAAUUAUAAGAUAUUUUUUAUUUUUUUUUUAAUUAUAAAACUUAAGAUAAAUAAAUAAUGAACUGAUAUGCAAAGGACAGUUUAACAUGACAAUACGAAGUGGAGAAUAUGUUACAGGACUCACAUGAUAGAUAUCAUUAUCAAAUUGAUAAUGAAGAAUAAAGAUUUAUGCCUUCAAAUUCAUUCCAUCUUGGACCUCCUUAUUUAAUCAUUUUUAUGCUAUAAAUUAUUACAAUUCAUUUUAGUUAGCUGAGUAAUUAUGUUGCAAUUAACACUUAUAUAUAUUUCAAUUUUUUAAAAAUAAAUAAUUUAUUUUUUAUAUUUUAAUUUUAUUAAAUUAAUAAAAAAUUAUUUUAACAAAAGUACUUUCAGUUUAACAGAAUCAAAAUAUAUGAAUUAAUAUGUUGAAUUUUAAAAGUAAAAUGAUAUGUAUAUUAACAUCAGAGAUAUGUAAAAGUGAUUUUUUUUUUAUUUAUAAGUAUAAAUUAUAAGAUUUAAGUAUGAUAUUAAAUUUGAAUUAUAGCAUUAUUGAAAAGUAAUGAAUAUAGAUUUGCUCAUCUUUCUUAAUCACAUGAAAUGAGAGUUUGGCAUAUAAUAAAAUAAAGUAGCAAAAUAUUCUUAGGUCAGUUGGCCAACAUCAUCUUCAAAGCAUUUUUGACGUCACAGAUGUGCCCACGCCUUUGACUAGUCGGUUUUACAUAUUAUUCUGAAAACUAUAUUUACCUUUGUUUUUUUAAGCAAAGCAAAAUCUUACCAUCAUUCAUCCUUUAAAACCAAGUGAUCCGAUUAGAAGGUAGCAUUUAAUCGGUUCAAUUUAAAAUCAAACUGAAUUAAAUAUAUUAAAAAUUAAAAUUUUAAUAUUUAUAUAAAUUAAAUCGAAUCGAAUUGAUUUUAAUUAGAAAUUAAAUUGGACUGAAUCACUUUGAUUCAGCUCAAUUCAAUUUAAUUUGAUCAGUAUGAAUUUUUAAUAUAUUUUUUUAAUUUUUAUACUUUAUUUUUAAUAAUUAAAAUUUUAAUUAAAAUAUUUUAACUUUAAUAUAAUUUGAUCUUUUUCAAUAAUAUACUAUUAAUAUUAAUUCGUUCGGUUCGAUUUUUUAAAUUCUUUUCUGAUUAAAAUUAAAUCGAAUAAAAAUAAUUGAAAAUUUUAAAAUUAAAAGCUAAAUUAAACUAAAAUAAAUAAAAAAAAUUAAAUCGAAUUUUCAAAUUAAUUUAAUUCGAUUAAUUUUUUUAAUUUAAAUCGAAUACUACUCCCACCAAUUGUAGAACUGAUUAGACUAAUAAUUGGAACAGUGAAUCAGUAAAAGAAAAAAUAAGAAGAAGAAUACUAUAAAUUUAUUUUAAAAUUAUAUAACCAAGGUUAAAUUGUCUAGUUUAAUUGGCUAAAAAAUAGAUGACUUGAUUUCAAAAUUUUAGAUUUCGAGUCUUAUUCCUUUUCGUAGUGUAUUUAAAUAUUAAAAAAAACAUACAUAAUAUUAUUUAAUUUCAUUAAGUUUUCUUUUUUUUUUUAUUAAAUGGUUAUUUAAUUAGUUUAUAUUUUGAUUUUAUUAGUUACCUAAUUAUAUAUAUAUAUGUCAGUUAUGCUAUAAUAAAUAGUAAUUAUUAUUAGGCAAAUUACAAUAUUUGAAAAUCUAUUUAUUAUACAUGCCUAUACUUUUAUAUGUUAUAUACAUAUAAUUUUUGUUUUUAUUUUUUUAUAGAAUAAUUGUGAUUCUCAAAUUAUUAAUAUUAUUUAAAAAUGAUAUUUUUAUAUAUUAUAAAUCUUUAAUAUAUCAAGAGCAUUUUUUUUAUAUAUAUUUGAAAAUAUGAAGAUAUCACAUAAUUUAAUCAAACUUUAAAAUUUUAUAUCUUUAAUCAAUAAAAUUGUGUAAAAUAUAAUUAGUGAUCAUAUUGUCCGCUUGAUAGGUUGGUAUCUUAUUCUUUGCAGCAAUUUGGGCCGUUGAUAUUGAGAUUGUGGUGAAUCCAUUCCUAAAUACAUAAAUUGAUAUUUGAUAGGCAACUGAUUACAAUUCAAAUCAAAGUUUAAAAUUAGAGCUGGUAUAGCCGAUGGAAAUUAUUCUGAUAGGAAGAUUUUUAAUCAAUUAUUCUGGUAGGAAAAAUUAAAAUAAUAAAAUAAAUUUGAUUUGCAAUUAUUCUGAUCAAAUCCAUAAAAAAAAAAAAAAAUUCUUAUACGGAUCAAGAGAAGUGAAUUCAUAUAUUAUUGGUUUUGUCAAAUAUAAAAAUUUAAAAUAAAAUUUAUUUAUUUUUUUAAUUUUUUGAAAAUUUAACCUUCAAGCAAUUUCCAAUUAUUUAUAUGAUUUGUGAUGUAAGAAUGGCACACACCAUUAAUACUUAAAACAUAAAAUAUAUAAUUUUAUGUAUCCAUGAGGGAAAACGUAGCAGGAAGAUUAUAAUCCUCCUAUGGUGUUACAACACAAACAGAAAAAAAAAAAAAAAAAAGGUUAAUUAUUUAGAUCGCAAUUAAGAGCACCAUUUAUUUAGUUGGAUUCCCCUCAUUAGAAUCAUCGAACUCUUUACCUAACAACAUAUCCAAGGUUGUAAGCAUAUUUGACGAGAUCUUCCAUCUCUGACAUGUCCACAACUCCAUCUCCAUUAGCAUCAGCAAGUUUGAUCCCUUGACGGGCCUUUUGAGCAGGGAACAUGGCACCGAGAUAAUUGAAAGCUUGUCUAAUCUCUUCCCUGCUAAGAACAUUGUCUCCGUUCAGGUCGAACUUCAUGAAAAUUUGCCUCACUUGGUCUUCAGUCAGGGGAACAGGAGCACUUUUGUAGUUGUUGGUACGGAAGGGAUUGGAGGGAACAUAAUAUGAACGUGGUGGUGGAGGAGUUGGAUUGCUUGGAAACCAAACAUCUUGGGGAACAGCAGGAGAUGAUCCCCAGAAACCAACAGCUGCAGGCUUGUCAUCACACAUUGAGGGCUUCUCCUCAUUCGUUGGCUGAUGGUUUGGGUAAUGAUAAGGAGUGAUGUUGUAUUCUCGGGAGUAUUGCAUAGAGUAAGCCAUGAUUUUCAAGUGGUUGAGUUCGUAGUUUUAUUUAACUUGCGAUGGAUUUGAACCCAUGGAAGCAACGCUUAUUUAUAAGGAGUUCGUAGUUUUGUUUUUUUUUCCCCACUUGCAUGAAUAAUAUUCUAAGUUAUCUUUGCGAAAAGUGGAACUACUUUUUGGCAAAUUCUAUAUGCCUUUUCUUUUUUUUUUUUUUUUUUAUUAAAGCAAACUCACAUAGUAUAGAUUCUCCACGUGUCCUACAACAUAAAAAUUCUCCACCACCAAAAUGAAAAUGCAAAUAUUCCUAAAUUUAGGAGACAAUUUAUCUCUCAAUACAAAGUAAGCUAUAUAUUUUUCUUAAACGAGUGAUAUGUGAUAUUUUUUAAUAAGAGUAUUAUUUAUUAUUUUUAUUGAGAAUUAAUAAAAAAUUUUCACUUAAAUUUAAAAAAAUUUACUAUAUAUUUUUUGUGACAUUAAAAAAACUCAUUAACUUAUUAUAUUGAUUCUGAAUAAUAUAUUAUGAUUUUUUAGAGUUUAAAAAAUUUAUUAAUUAAUUAUUUUAUUAGUUUUAAUUAUUUAAAAAAAAUAUGAUCCGUAGGUCUCAUUUUUAUAAAAAUAUUUAUUAACUAUUUAAUAUUAAAAAUAUUUAAAUUUUUUUAUAAUAUAAAUUAAUUAAUAAAAUUUUUAAAAUUUUAUAGAUAUUUUAAUUAAUUUUUAAAAAUUAUUAAUAAAUUGAAAUUACAAAUAUAAAUUUAGCAUAUUUAUAUUUCAAAGUAUUAUUUUAUAAAUUUGGUUAUAAUCGAUAUUUAAAAAAUUCCAAUACAUAGAAUUAGAAAUUUUUAAGUUUUUAUAAUAAUAACCAAUGAAAAUAUAUACACUUAUAAAUUAAAAAAAAAAACAAUUUCUAAACAAUCUCAUGAAAAAAAUUCAAUAAUUUAAGAAAUAAAUUUUUUAAAUGAGAAAAAUAUUUAAAUAAUGAUUACAAAAAUCAUUAUUAAUUAAUUCUAAAAUUAUUUAUUAAAUUAGUAAAUUAAAUAUUAAAACGAUUCAACUUUCUAAUUUUACUAGACUAGAAAGUAUUAUCAUCUGAUCAAAUUAAUUUUUUUUAAAAAAAUUUUAAUAAAUAUUAAUUUAAUUUAUAAAUUUUUUUAAUUUUUUUUUUUAAAAUUUGAAUCCGAUCUAACUUAUCUAAAAAUUAGCUUAAAAUAAAAGUGUCUAAAACACUUCUAAAAGACACAUCACCUAUAUUCUAAAUCGAUGUGGAAUCCCCUCACGUCCAAAACUACACUGAAACAUGACAUAUUUAUGAGAGAUUUAAUUUCGGUGGAAAACUCUAAUACCAUGUUCAAUUUGGGUCAAACCUAAUUUAUCCCAAAAAUUAGUUUAAGGAGGGAGAAGUGUUUAAAACUCUUAUAAAGGCUAUAUUGAUUUUAUUCUAAAUUGAUAUGAAAUUUAAAAUUUUUUAUUAGCUAAAAAACUUAUAAAUUUUAUUAACAUGAAAAGAACCAUCAAAAGAGGCUCUCAGAAUCAGCAAGUGAACUCCAUACAUCCAUCUUAAACAAACUAGCAACGUCUAAUGAUGAAAAAUACCUUAAAAGAAACACAAAAGGAAACAAAAACAAAAGCAAGGCAACAAAGUCGUACAAUCUAAGACUUCCAGAUUUAGCAGGAUUAUCAGUAAAGCAAUUUGUUUCCCCUUUUGAGGAUGGAUGAAAGUCACCGUUGCAACAGAAUGGUCCAAGAAAUUGAGCUUAAUUUCAGAGAGGAAAAUAAGACAACCAUCUGAUUUGGAGAAACUUUGUUGAAAAGUUUUAAUUAAUUUUAUUUAAAAGAAUUACCAUCAGUUAACUAGAUUUUAUUAAAAUUUACUAGUUUUUCCUUUUUUUUUUUUUAAUUAAUCAAUUAAAAUAUUUCACAUUUUAUAAACUCAAAUAAUUUAAUCAUUCUGCCUAAAGAAUUGCUAAUCAAUUUAUUUUAAUAUUAAUUAAAUGGACUAAAUUGUAUAAAUAUUUAUCAAUUAUGGUGACUAAAUAACAUAGAACUGAACAAUAUAAAUAUUUGAUAACUCAAAGAUCCACGAGAAACUAAAUUAAGGAAAGUAAAUAUUAUAGAUGAAUUUAGUAAAUGAGGGUAAUAAUAAUUUUGAGUUGAAAAUAUUUCGAAAGUUUGCAGAAAAUCUAUGAACACUCCUAAUAAAAUUUAUUUGGUCGUAAUUUAGUAAAAGUACUAUGAGAACAUACACGUGUUUUAAUCUUAGGUGUUUUAUAUAUUAUUAAUAUCCAAGACAGCCGGUAAUUCUUUUUAAUAAAAAAAUUAAAAAAAUAAAUUUUACAAAUAUAAAAUAUUUUAAUAAAUAAUUUUUAAAUAUAAAUAAAUUAAUAAAUUUCUAAAAAUUUAAAAAUUUAUAAUAAUUUUUCAUUUUAUUUCAUUCAAUUUUGGAAUCUAACUUACCUACAUUACUGCACUAAUUAAAUUACUUUUUUUUUUUUUUGAAAUGGGGAUGGGGAUUCGAACAUGAGAUUUAUCAGGUUUAACCGAAUGCACUUAACAUCAGAUUAAGUCUGGGAGUGCACUAAUUAAAUUACUUCUAAAUAAAUAUUUUUCCUUUUAUAUAUUUUCAAUUUUCAAUAUAUAACUCACUACAGGCAUCUAUGAGCCUUUUUUUCCUGUUUCAUGGAGGGAGCUUUUAUUCUCAUCUUAAAUAUGGAUUUUUUUUUUUUGAAAAGUUAAAUAUAAUAAUGAAAAUUAGAUAAAAUCAUGGCAAUAUUCAUGUAUGAAGUUGCAUACGAAAAUCAAAUACGUAUAUGAGUAUUCUUCUGACCACUUAGAAAAUUUGAGUUUAAAUUCCUCAUCAUAGUUAAUUAUAAAAAAUUUGGAAGUUCAUUUCAUUCUUUUGUUCGUUUUGAGAAUUUCAUAAACCAAAAAAUUGAAAUUAUUUUAAUUAAAUUAAUAAAAAAUAAUUUACAAACAAUCCAAUAAAUUUAGGAUUUUUAACAGCAUACCUCAUAUUAGGUUUAAAAUGCUUAAUCAUGAUAAAUAAAUUCCUUAUAAAAUACUAACGAGUAUUUUAUAAGGAAUCUGUAAAUGCUUAUGAGAUGGAAUCUGUAAAUCCUUGAGUUUUACUAGCUCGGAGGCUCUUUUAUUUCUGAGUAUUUUCAACCAAAUCUUGUCUGUAUAAGAUUGAAGAAGCGGCAAAUCUUCAACAUCUGCUAAACAGAUUCCUGAUACUGAAGCUCAAGUCCUGGAAUGCUAAUGUCUUUGGUUUGGCUAGCCCAAAACUCUUUGAGAUUAAUUUUCUGUAGAUCUAUUCGAAAGUUUUACGAAAGUUCGUGAUCUUACAACCUCUAAACAAGCUAUUUUACAACGUUGUAAAGCUGAUAAAGAAAUAUGGCAAAUGAUAAUGUGUGUCCUUGGAGGCAUCCUAAGAGAUCAUUUGGAACAUUUUCUCUGCAUUUUCUCUUGCCCAAUAGGUAUUGAUGCCUAUAAUGCUACAGAAUUCAAAGAAAUAGCAAAGGCCUUGGAACUGCUAUGCUCAACCUCUUUUCACCCCCAUAUCGGUUCUCAUUUCUUAGUAGAAUCCUAUUCUAUAGCUGCAAUUUCUUUGGCACAAAAUCUAGAUAGCUCACCAUGGCAUCUUUCUGGCAAACUCCAAUGCUUCUUCAUUAUCUUUGUUGCCUAAGGUUAAGUUUUGUCAUACUUUGCGGAAUGGAAAAUCCAUAGCUGGCUCUCUUGAUAAGCAAGGUGUAAAUAGAUAUGAAGACUUCGUGGCUUUCCACUAGUUCUUGGUAACUUAUCGCUACUGUAUUCUAUGCCUUAUAGUUGCCUUUUUAAUGGGUUGGUGCUGGCUAUAGCUUCUUUUUUUUUUGGGUUUGGAUUUGUUUGUUUUUCUUUUGCUCCUGUUGUCAUGAUACACAUACACCAAAUGCAAAAAAAUUUGAGUUAUUGAUAUGGUUUAGGAUAUUGUAAGAAUCACAGACAGAGUUAAAACUUAAAAUACCACAAACAUUGUAUAGGUAUAUAAACCCAUGAGGGGAAAACAUAGCAGGAAGCUUAUAAGCAUACAUGUUAAUUAUUGAGGUGGCAAGAGCACCAUUUAUUUAGUUGGAUUCCCCUCAUUAGAAACAUCCAACUCUUUACCUAACAACAUACCCAAGAUUAUAAGCAUACUUGACGAGAUCUUCCAUCUCGGACAUGUCCACAACACCAUCUCCAUUAGCAUCAGCAAAUUUGAUCCCUUGACGGGCCUUUUGAGCAGGGAACAUAGCACCAAGAUAAUUGAAAGCUUGUCUGAUCUCUUCCCUGCUAAGAACAUUGUCUCCAUUCAGGUCGAACUUCAUGAAAAUUUGCCUCACUUGGUCUUCAGUCAGGGGAACAGGAGCACUUUUGUAAUUGUUGGUACGGAGGGGAUUGGAGGGAAUAUGAUAUGAACGUGGUGGUGGAGGAGUUGGAUUGCUUGGAAACCAAACAUCUUGGGGAACAGCAGGAGAUGAUCCAAAGAAACCACCAGCUGCAGGCUUGUCAUUACACAUUGAGGGCUUCUCCUCAUUCGUUGGCUGAUGGUUUGGGUAAUGAAAAGGAGUGAUGUUGUAUUCUUGGGAGUAUUGGAUAGAGUAAGACAUGAUUUUCAAGUAGUGAGGGGAUUAAAGCAGGUAUUGAGUUUGUAGUUCUAUUGAACUUGCUAUUGAUUUGAAUCCAUGGAAGCAAGCUUAUUUAUAAGCUACUCCAGGUUUUUUUUUUCUUUUUUUUUUUUUUUCUUUUUUCCCACUUGCAUGAAUCAUAUUCUAAGUUAUCUUUCUGAAAAGUGGAUUCUAUAUAUCACAGAUAAGGAACUACUUUAUCUGACAAAUUCUAUAUGCCUUUUUCUUCUCCAUAAAGUAUUUUGAAAUGCAUGCAUGCCGUUUCUUUUUUUUUUUUUUUUCUUUUCCUGAUUAGAUUAUGGCAUUAAAUUGAUAAUCGCGGUGAUGAUUUAAUGUUAUUUUGUAAUUUAAAGAUUCAUAUGUAAAAUAAUUUAUCUUAUUCUUUGCAGCAAUUUGGGCAGUUUAUAUUGAGAUUGUGGCGAAUCCAUCCCUUUCAUGUACAAGAGGGUUCAAAGCUGUGAGUUUAUGUAGUUCUCAAUAUUCUUUUCCUGCUUACAAAUAAAAAUAAAAAUUAUUAUCUAAUCUGUAUGAUAUUGAAAAAAUAAUUUAUAAGCCUCUUAACUUUUAAAAAUAUAUUAAAAUUUUUAUAUAAUUUUUAAAAUAUCUAUUGAAUUUUUUUAGAAAGGCGUAAAAUUAAUAUGUAAAGUACCUAAACCUUUUUAUGUUAAAAAGUAAUUUUAGAAGAGUAAUUUAAAAAAAAAAAUUGUUCUCUAAUCUUUUGUGCUAAAAGUAAUCAUUUUCAAGUUAGCAGCAUGAGCCUUUUAAUAGAUUAUCAAAAUUAUUGGAAGGUUUUAAUUUACUUUUAAAAAUUAAUAGCUCAAUUAGUUAAUUUUUUUUAUAUUUAAAAAUUAAAUAAUAAUUUUAUAAUAGAAAUUUAAUAUUAUUUUCUGAAUAUAUUUUAUUAAGCAAGCAAGAAAUCUGAAGAGAAAAAAAUAAGAAACAAGAUAAUUAGAAAAUAAAAUCCUCUAAGACUUGAUACAUAUUGGGGCCUACAAUGUAGGAAUUUUUUUUUCUAAUUAAAGCAAACUUACAUAUUUAUAUUCUCCAUGUGUCCUAGAACGAAAAAAAUUCUCCACUCACACACCACCAAAAUGAAAACGCAAAUUCCUUAAAUUAAUCUGUUUUUUAAAUUUUUGUUAAGGUCCAAAAGACUGAAGAGGUAUAUGAUGCAAAGUCAAAAGACUAAGAGAAAUACAAAUGAAAACACUCGAUAAAGCUCGAUUAAAACAACUCAAAAAAAUAAAAUCAAACAAACAAACCAAAUUAAAAAAAAAAAAACAAUUAAAUACAGAACCAAAUAAUCAGCCACUGAUCCACCGCACAGCCUACUCGGCUUGGAAUUCAGCAAUAAGAGACAUCAUCGGCCAUAUUAGCGGCAAUACAAACAACCUGAAAAAACUAAAAAGACUCAACACACCAACAAAAAAGCAACAUGCAAACAAUAUCAAGACAGAAAAAGUCCAUGACAAAGUAUUUUUAAAACUUCUUUAAGAUAGAAAACACUAGCAUAUCCGAGGAGGAGAUGACGAUAGAGUUGACGAUUCUAUCUUCACCGGCGAGCGUGGUGGUCACCGGACGUAACUAUACAGUCUCAACAUACCGAAGUCACAUCGGUAAGAAGUCUCUUGAGAAAAGAGAAAUAAACCAAUUAAAAGUAGGUCUAAAGAAGCCUUUACAUGGAUACCACGAGACUUGUAAAUGAGAAAGCAAAAAACUAAAUAAAAAUCGCCAAUGUGUUCGACGAAAAUGAGGUCGUCAAACAGAAGCCAAAACUGAUGGUUUUUCUGCCUCGAAGAGUAAAGAAACCACAAUCAAAGCUACCAACAACGACCCAAUUUUAGAAACAGACAAUACCUUAUAACUAAAAGGAAGAACACUAUUGUGCACACCAAUCGAUUUCUGUCCCCCAUAUUUUUGCCCUUUUCUUCUUUUCUCAAUCUUCUCGUCUUAUUAGAGUGCACAUUUCAGUCGGUUCGGUUUAAAAUUGAAACUAAAAAUUGAAAUUUUAGUUUUUAUAAAAAUCAAAUCGAAUCGAUUUUGAUAAAAAAUUGAAUCAAAUUAAAUUGGUCUAAUUCAAUUUGAUUCGAUUCCGUUUGAUCGGUUUCAAUUUUUAAUAAUUUUUUUUUUAUUUUUUACCAUUUAUUUUUAUUAUUUUAAAAUUUAUUUAAAAUAUUUUAAUUUUAAUAAUUUUAAUAUGAUCUAAUCUCUCCAUAUUAUUGAAAAUAAUAUAUUAUUAUCACUAAUCGGUUCAGUUUGAUUUUUUUAAUUUUUUUCUGAUCAAAAUCCAACCGAACCGAAAUAAUCAAAAUUAAUAAAAAAUCAAACUGAAUUUUCAAAUUAAUUUAAUUCGAUUGAUUUUUUUAAUUUAAAUAGAAUACUCAUCACCCUUAACUCUUCAUCUAUUUAUGUAAUAGUAGAAAUACAGUUGGUUACUAUAUAUUUCAUCAAGUCUCCCUCAACCUUUUGGGAUAUAUCUCCUUAAAUUUAAGAUAUAUAUAUAUAUAUAUAUAAGCAAAUUAUUUUUCUUAAACGGUUAAAAUAAUAUCAUCUUCUAAUGCAAGUAUAAUUUGCCACUUUUAUUGAAAAUUAACAUGUAUAUUUUUUUAAUUAAAUUUUAAAAAAUUUAAUAUUUAGCCUAUAUAAUAUGCAAACUCAUUAGUAAGUCUUAAUUUUAAAAAAUACAUUAAAAUAUUUCUAAACUUUUAAAAUAUUUAUUAAUUUUUUAUUACUUUUAACCAUUAACUAUUUUAUUUUAUUUAAUUCUUAUAAUAUAAAAAAAAUUUAUUAAUUGAUAUUUUAGUUUUAUAAAGAUAUUUACUAAUUAACUUCUCUGGAUUAUUUUCACAAUAUUUAACAUUUAAAAUUAAUAAAAAAAUUAAUUGGUAAAUUUUUUAAAUGUUUAUAAAUAUUUUAUUUUUAAAAAUUAAAAAACUGACUAAUAAUUUUUCUUAUAUUAUAUAUAUGAACCAAAUAGUAUAUUUUAAAAAAAUUAAUUUUAAUUAUUAUUAUUAUUAUAACUAACUUUGUUAGCUUUAGUUAUUUAUGGUUAUUUUUAUUUAAUCAAUAUAAAUCAAAUUAAUUAUUAAUAUUAAUGAUUUUACAUAAAAAUUUUCUAAGUAAGUCCUCAACUAUCACCGUAAAAUAGGGCCAUGCAGCAAGGGUUGAGAAACUGAUAAGCAGUUUCACUCAUAGAAAGAAAGACUUGAACGACCAGCUCGAGCAACCAUCAUGCUCAGAAUUAAAAGAAAAGACCCGGCCUUAGGACAAGUCGGCUUCAGGUCAGAUAGACCCGUCCUCUUAAGCGAUAAGACGAGUCUCCGUAAGAAAGUUACUAUCUACUAGCUACAAUCUUGCAAAUCUCCUGCGAUCACGAGAUUUCCAACUAAUUAGCCAAUAAAAAUACCAUAUUUUCUUGAGAUUAUAGGAAGAAAACUGUUUUUAUUUUCUUACCUCUUGUGUAGUAAGUUACAGUGUUUAUAUAGUACGUAAUAUGAACAAUUAGACCUUUGAUUGUGCUCUCAAUUAUGUCCUAGAAUCAUGCUAUGCUAAACAUGGUAAGAUUUGAUCACUGAUUGAUUUACAAUCAUGACAGAGGAUUCUUUCCAACACUCCCCCUCAAGUUGGUUCAUGUGGAUCUAGCAUACCCAACUUGCCCAAAACCUCAUGGAAUAUUCGUCCAGCUACUGCUUUGGUUAGGAUGUCCGCCCAUUGAUCCUCUGAUUGAACAAACGGUAAAGAUAUUAGACCACUGUCCAACUUUUCUUUGAUGAAAUGUCGGUCUAUUUCAACAUGUUUUGUUCGAUCAUGAUGAACUGGAUUUUCAGAAAUGCUUAUUGUUGCCUUGUUGUCACAACGGAGUUCAGCUGCAUCCUUUGAUCCAAGCUCAAACAUCAACUUUCUAAUCCAUAGGAGUUAUGCCAGUCCUUUUGCUAUUCCCCUGAAUUCUGCAUCAGCACUUGACAGUGCCACCACCUUUUGUUUCUUACUUUUCCACGUUACCAAAUUUCCUCCUACAAAGGUGAAGUAUCCUAAAGUAGAUCGUCUGUCGGAGAGAUCUCCUGCCCAACUUGCGUCCGUAUAUCCACUGAUACUGAAAUGACCAUUCUUUUUGAACAACAUGUCCAUCCCAGCUGUUCCUUUCAGAUAUCGAACGAUUCUCAAUGUUGCCUCCAUAUGGUCUUGUUUUGGAUUAUGCAUGAACUGACUUACCAAACUCACAGCAUAUGCCACGUCUGGUCUGGUGUGUGAUAAAUAAAUCAGUUUUCCUACCAGUCUCUGGUACCUCCCCCUGUCUGUGGGUCCUUCUUUUGAGUCCUUGCUCAACUCGUGAUUGACCAUUACUGGAGUAUCGACUGGUUUGCAAUCUAUCAUUCAUGUUUUAGUUAACAGAUCAAGAAUGUACUUUCUCUGUGAUAUCAAAAUUCCCUGGUCUGACCUGAGAACUUCGAUUCCAAGAAAAUAUUUUAACAUCCCUAGGUCUUUCAUCUCAAAUUCUUGGAAUAAGUUGUCCCUCAGUUGUUUGAUUUCAUCCACAUCGUCUCCAGUUAUAAUCAUGUCAUCCACGUAUAUAAUCAAACACGUGAUCUUCCUUCCUUGCCUCUUCAAGAAUAGAGUGUGAUCGGAGUUACUCUGUCGAUAUCCAUUGUAACACCCCGGAAACCGGUACCUCUCUGUAUCGGCCUAAAGUGCUCGGCACUAGGAUCCAGAUCGGCUUAAGGCUGCCUAGACCCGUAAUAAGCCUGCUAUGAACUCUGUGUACCUGGUAAAAUCCCAUACAUGAUCCAACUCGACUACUAAGUUUUACUUUCUUUCUCUGUAAAAACUACCAGACUUAACCUUUAAAACAUCAGACAUCUCAAUCUGAAAUAGCCCUCAGGGCUAAACCAGUGAUACUCUACCAAGUAACCUCCAUGCACUAUGCUCUGAAACAUAGAACCCACUCUGUAGGGUCAGCAUAUCAUAAGUUAACCUUGGCUACCAUAGAGUCACAGGAUUCAAACCUGGUCUUCUCUAAUGGCCUCUCUAUGGGUCACAGGAAUCAAACCUGAUCUUCCCUCUGCACUGGUCUUGGGUCAAGGGAAUUAAACCCUGUCUUCCCUCACAGUUAUAAUUCACUGGGUUUUCGAAACACAACAUCUAUUAAGUCUGGUUUGACUCAUUUCUCAUCAAGAAACAUAAAACAGGAUACAUGCAUACACUAGGGAUCAACAUACUAUAAAGAUCAACAUACACUAAAAGCAAAGCACAUUCUAACUUAUACAUACACGAUCUUACUAACUAUUACAUGCCUUUACAUCUAUCUCUUUAAUUUACAUCAUGUCCACUACUCUAUUACACAUGCAAUACUGGAGCCAACACUCUGAUGCUUCUGACUCCCCAGCUAACUCUGUACCUGCAAAACUGGGAUUAAGGGAAAGGGAUGAGCUAUAAAGCCCAGUGAGUAGAAACACUGAAAACAGUUCAUUCAUACACACUUUAUAUGAAAUGUGUCACAACUCAAACAUUCCACAUCUUGGAUUAGACAUGACCUCAAAACUCCCUCUGUCGGCACCCGAUUCCCGUAGGAACUCACACAGGAUUUUCACUGCCAUGACAGAUCGUGGGCUAUUGAUGUCGCCUUGGUCCAAUCCCCACUAUCAAUCAAUAAUGCAAUGCACCAUAUUCGUGAUUCUCAUGCAAUCACCCUAAUACAUAACAUGGUAUCCAUGAUGCAUGAACUAUGCUAACGCAUUCCAUUUUCUCAGUAUAAAAGAUUAAGUUUAGUUCUACUCACCUCUGCUCCUCUAGCAGCUACUGUACUGACUCUGAAAUCUCUAACUCUGAUGACCUCCUCGAACUCUAGGGUCCAAACCUACACAAAUGGACUCGCAUGAGGUGUCAAACAGACUCUGAAUAACUCUUAAACAAUUCCCCAUAAUCCCCUCUAAACCUCUGAAAAUAAUUACAUAAAUCAUGCAAAAAAAGGCUGAACAGAACACAUUCGGCGGCAGGUUCGGCGGCCGAAUGUCCUCUCCAGAGCCGAAACUCAUGCAUGUUCGGCGGCACCUUCGACGACCGAAUGUGCAUGACAGAUCCGAAAGUCCAUUCUUUCGGAGGCAACCUUAGGCAGCCGAAACGACCUCCUCAAGGGGUUCGGCGGCCGAAUCCUCCCUUCGGCGGCCGAACCUGAGUUCAUCCAGAACUUAGUUUCGUGCAUGAACAAGCCUGCCAAGCACCAACUCCACUCCACAAGAGGUUCGGCGGUCGAAGCUGGGUUCUCCAGAAGGCAGAACCUUGCUUCCUCUCAUGCACAACCUCUCCAAACUCACUCUAACAUGCAUAACUCAACUCCUCAACUCACAUAUAUUAUGGUAUAUGCACAAAGGGGUCCAAACUACCUAUUAACCCCAACAAAACAACUAACACAACACAUAAUCAUGCUUUCACCAUGAAAACAUCAAAACUAAACUCUAAAACCUAAACAUGCAACUCUACCCUUAACCUCUUUAAAAGCCGUUAAACCAAGAAAACAAGUAUAAAGACCUCUCUUACCUCCGGAAACUAGAAGAGGAACAACUUGCACUCAGCAAAUCCCCUUCACAAAGCUUCAAACCACCAAAACCUCUCUUUUCUCUCAAAACCUUCAAGACUCGUUGAAACACACUCAACCCUCUGCACGAGCUGAUAAAAGCUUGCAGAUGAGUCAAGGGAGACGUGGCCUAACCUCUGGUCAUGAUCUGGAGGUGAACACCUGGCCAAACCACGGACUGAGGAGCGUGCACAACUUACCGACCACCUCAGCUUCGGCUGCCGAAACUGCAUGCAAAACCAUGCAACUUUCGGGGGCCGAACAUAACCUUCGGGGGCCGAACAUUGGGCACUUUCGGCGGCCGAACUUAACCUUCGGGGGCCGAACACGACAGAAACUCCUUUGGCCAAUUCUCCACAAAACUCAACUCUCCACAAAACUCAACUCUUUUCUUAAUCAAAAGCUUAAAACAUGUUAAAACAUUUUAGAACAAACUUACUUUGACCCUUCUAGAAUCUCUGACAGCUCUGAAUUCCACCGGACGGUAAGAAUUCUGAUGCCUGAACUAGCCGGGUAUUACAAUCUUUCCCCCUUAAAAACAUUCGUCCUCGAAUGUUAAAAAACACACAAGAACAAACAAAACCGCAAACUAUUCCUGAACUUCACAGCUUUCGCUGCGCUACUCUGAUCCUUAUCCUUCUCUUUCUUUUUAUCUUUUCUCAACUGUCCUCUUUUCCCUCUUAACUCAAAUAAUCUCUCUGUGAAACUCUCUCUCUUUAAUUCUCAACAGAUCAUAUACCCAUAUCUGUACUCUGAUCAUACCAAACUGUAAAUCCACUCAUCUUUGAUUAGAACAGUUAGUAGAUCAACAAUUCUAACUAGGAACACCUGUCCUUAGUAGGGACUUUGUUAACUGUGUACAGUCAUAACAAAAUCUCAAGAGUCUAUCCUUCGUUUCCCGCAACAAUACUGAAAACAUUCCAGGGUGAGGUACUAAGUCAGAUAAAAUCUUUAUCUACUAAGCUUCUAUACUAUUCUUACAAUUCUUAACUCUCUUUCUCUCUCUGCAGGUGCCAUCCUGUAGGGAAAGGAAAGAAAUGGUUCCGCGUCCAGACACCACUCUCGUUCCAAACUCUAGUUCCCUAACAGAUGGAAAACCUGACAGCUCGUCUAGGAAACAUCUAGUACUCACUGGCAAUAGGCACUGAGGCUAAUUCCCUGUCCUGACUUUUAAACAUGCUCACACGAGCUAGAAUCUUCUGAUAACCUUUCCUUUGUAGCUAUGAGCCUGAUGGGCUGAUAUCAAACCUCUGAGCAUCUAUACUCUGGACUCUGUCCUGUCUAAGGACUACCACUGAUCCAUCCUGUACUCUGACCUUUCUUACUUUCACUCUGUUGGCACAAGAAGUACCAUGAGUAGUUAGCCAAUCCGCCCUAGAAUGACAUCACACAGUCAAAUCUAGAACCAUAAGGUCAGCUGGAUCGCAUCUACUCACCUCUACGCUGAACUGAACGGACUGACUCUGCCUCUGAUGGAUCAUACUCAGGUCUACCGACCCAAAGAAAACACUCUAAGCCCAGAAGUCAUCAAACCCCCUCUAUCAAUGGCUCACUAAGCAACAAGGAAAAUGAAACACUGGGUUUCAAAACAACCAGCAUACACAUCCAAGCACUUCUAAGUGAACGUAUCUCACGUCACCGUGCAUAAUGUGUUAGCCGCCUACUAAAUCAGGAUGAAGAUCCAAGCUAAAGCUAAUGGAACUUCCCUCGGGAAUCUACUAAAGAAAAGACUGACUCUUUUCUCUGCCUCAACUACCAACUAAUCCCAGACUGACUUUAUCCUCUUUCUACGCUCACUCUUACUCCUCUUUCUUUUGAGAAAUCAAUUCUCACGAUUCUUGGGUUUAUAACAACCUGAGAUAUUAAAAUCUCACAGCAACUUUUUCUAGCUUUUCUUUGAUUCACUAAUCCUUUAACUAUUAACUCUUCUCUGAAUCUUUGCCAUAAAACUGACAUCCUACUAGGAUCCUCACAAACAUACCUCAGAUUACUCAAAACAAAAUGAGCAUACCUGGCGCAGAGGUAUCAGAUGUGUCUGCCUCUCUUCCUUGCCUAUUGGCUUGAGCCACUCUAUCUGCUAAAGUCUGCUGGGACUGAACUAUCCAGGGCGCAAUAGGACACUCACGCAUCAUAUGCCCCUCCUGACCACAUCUAUAACAUCCUGUUGUCCCUGCAAGACAAACUCCCUUAUGCAUUCUUCCACAUCUCUCACAUUUUGGUUUACCUCUACCAGAACUUGGACCAGCUCCACUAGUCCCUAACUCCUUAUUCUCAGACCCUUUAAAACCUCUCACCUUUUUCUUUCUAGUUCUCCCCCACUUCACUCCUGUCCAAGUGGCUGUACUCCAAGUGGAAAGUUCAUUCGCUCCUACACCUGACAUUUUAGUCUCCCUGAUCUGAUCAUCUUCUUCUACCAUAUUUACCUGUACACCAAUAUCCCUUCUUUGUACACCUACCUCUAUCUCUCUCCCGUCUCCUAACAUUCCUUUUCGGUCCAUUUCUUCUCUAUUUUCCUCACAAGACCCUUCAGACGGAUCUGAUUCCACAGAACUACUCAUCUUAGUUCUCCUUAAGAACAACACACAAAGAAACAAACAUUAGCACACAUGUUCAUAUGAAACCACAUGAACGUACAAUAUAUACAUGCAUACAUAGCAUAACAUUAAUACCCAUGAAUAUACAUGUGUAUUUCACAUCAGCAUGCAAAACAACUUCCUAUCUUAGUGGACAUGAUUCUACUUAUUGUGCUUUGCCUUUCUAUGACUCUAAACCAACCUCUUUCCGAUGUGGGAUCUCUCUAAUCCUUGAACAAACAUGCUCAACACACCGUACUUAGGAGGUCCUAUGCUCUGAUACCAACUGUAACACCCCGGAAACCGGUACCUCUCUGUAUCGGCCCAAAGUGCUCGGCACUAGGAUCCAGAUCGGCUUAAGGCCGCCUAGACCCGUAGUAAGCCUGCUAUGAACUCUGUGUACCUGGUAAAAUCCCAUACAUGAUCCAACUCGACUACUAAGUUUUACUUUCUUUCUCUGUAAAAACUACCAGACUUAACCUUUAAAACAUCAGACAUCUCAAUCUGAAAUAGCCCUCAGGGCUAAACCAGUGAUACUCUACCAAGUAACCUCCAUGCACUAUGCUCUGAAACAUAGAACCCACUCUGUAGGGUCAGCAUAUCAUAAGUUAACCUUGGCUACCAUAGAGUCACAGGAUUCAAACCUGGUCUUCUCUAAUGGCCUCUCUAUGGGUCACAGGAAUCAAACCUGAUCUUCCCUCUGCACUGGUCUUGGGUCAAGGAAAUUAAACCCUGUCUUCCCUCACAGUUAUAAUUCACUGGGUUUUCGAAACACAACAUCUAUUAAGUCUGGUUUGACUCAUUUCUCAUCAAGAAACAUAAAACAGGAUACAUGCAUACACUAGGGAUCAACAUACUAUAAGGAUCAACAUACACUAAAAGCAAAGCACAUUCUAACUCAUACAUACACGAUCUUACUAACUAUUACAUGCCUUUACAUCUAUCUCUUUAAUUUACAUCAUGUCCACUACUCUAUUACACAUGCAAUACUGGAACCAACACUCUGAUGCUUCUGACUCCCCAGCUAACUCUGUACCUGCAAAACUAGGAUUAAGGGAAAGGGAUGAGCUAUAAAGCCCAGUGAGUAGAAACACUGAAAAUAGUUCAUUCAUACACACUUUAUAUGAAAUGUGUCACAACUCAAACAUUCCACAUCUUGGAUUAGACAUGACCUCAAAACUCCCUCUGUCGGCACCCGAUUCCCGUAGGAACUCACACAGGAUUUUCACUGCCAUGACAGAUCGUGGGCUGUUGAUGUCGCCUUGGUCCAAUCCCCACUAUCAAUCAAUAAUGCAAUGCACCAUAUUCGUGAUUCUCAUGCAAUCACCCUAAUACAUAACAUGGUAUCCAUGAUGCAUGAACUAUGCUAACACAUUCCAUUUUCUCAGUAUAAAAGAUUAAGUUUAGUUCUACUCACCUCUGCUCCUCUAGCAGCUACUGUACUGACUCUGAAAUCUCUAACUCUGAUGACCUCCUCGAACUCUCGGGUCCAAACCUACACAAAUGGACUCGCAUGAGGUGUCAAACAGACUCUGAAUAACUCUUAAACAAUUCCCCAUAAUCCCCUCUAAACCUCUGAAAAUAAUUACAUAAAUCAUGCAAAAGAAGGCUGAACAGAACACAUUCGGCGGCAGGUUCGGCGGCCGAAUGUCCUCUCCAGAGCCGAAACUCAUGCAUGUUCGGCGGCACCUUCGGCGGCCGAAUGUGCAUGACAGAUCCGAAAGUCCAUUCUUUCGGAGGCAACCUUAGGCAGCCGAAAGGACCUCCUCAAGGGGUUCGGCGGUCGAAUCCUCCCUUAGGGGGCCAAACCUGAGUUCAUCCAGAACUCAGCUUCGUGCAUGAACAAGCCUGCCAAGCACCAACUCCACUCCACAAGAGGUUCGGCGGCCGAAUCUUUACUUCGGCGGCCGAAGCUGGGUUCUCCAGAAGGCAGAACCUUGCUUCCUCUCAUGCACAACCUCUCCAAACUCACUCUAACAUGCAUAACUCAACUCCUCAACUCACAUAUAUUCUGGUAUAUGCACAAAGGGGUCCAAACUACCUAUUAACCCCAACAAAACAACUAACACAACACAUAAUCAUGCUUUCACCAUGAAAACAUCAAAACUAAACUCUAAAUCCUAAACAUGCAACUCUACCCUUAACCUCUUUAAAAGCUGUUAAACCAAGAAAACAAGUAUAAAGACCUCUCUUACCUCCGGAAACUAGAAGAGGAACAACUUGCACUCAGCAAAUCCCCUUCACAAAGCUUCAAACCACCAAAACCUCUCUUUUCUCUCAAAACCUUCAAAACUCGUUGAAACACACUCAACCCUCUGCACGAGCUGAUAAAAGCUUGCAGAUGAGUCAAGGGAGACGUGGCCUAACCUCUGGUCAUGAUCUGGAGGUGAACACCUGGCCAAACCACGGACUGAGGAGCGUGCACAACUUACCGACCACCUCAGCUUCUGCUGCCGAAACUGCAUGCAAAACUAUGCAACUUUCGGGGGCCGAACAUAACCUUCGGGGGCCGAACAUAACCUUCGGGGGCCGAACAUUGGGCACUUUCGGCGGCCGAACUUAACCUUCAGGGGCCGAACACGACAGAAACUCCUUUGGCCAAUUCUCCACAAAACUCAACUCUCCACAAAACUCAACUCUUUUCUUAAUCAAAAGCUUAAAACAUGUUAAAACAUUUUAGAACAAACUUACUUUGACCCUUCUAGAAUCUCUGACAGCUCUGAAUUCCACCGGACGGUAAGAAUUCUGAUGCCUGAACUAGCCGGGUAUUACAUCCAUUUUUCUUCAUUGCUUGAGUAAAUCUCCCAAACCAUGCUCUGGGUGACUGUUUCAACCCAUACAAGGCUUGCCUCAAUCGACACACUUCUCCCCUUCUAUAUCCACUCAUGAACCCUAGUGGAGCAUCCAUGUAUACUUCCUCUUCCAGAUCACCAUGCAAGAAAGCAUUUUUUACAUCAAAUUGGUGAAGUGGCCAGUCUAGGUUUGCAACUAGAGAGAAUAGGACUCGUAUUGUAUCAAUUUUUGCUACUGGAGAGAAUGUUUCAGGAUAGUCAACUCCAUAAGUCUGAGUAUAUACUUUUGCUACAAGUCUAGCUUUAUAUCUGUCCACCAUUCCGUCUGACUUGUACUUUAUGGUAAACACCCAUUUGCAUCCCACUGGUCGUUUUCUCUUAGGUAGCCAGCAUUUUUUCCAGGUCUUGUUUUUCUCCAGGGCAUCCAUCUCGGUCUCCAUCGCCUCAACCCAUCUUUUGUCCUUCUGGGCCUCUGUGGCAUCCUUUGGUAUCCAUUCUGAGCAAAUAUUUUUUUGUAGGUUGACCAACUGAGGUGAUAGUUUUUCUCCUCUGGUAACGUUUGCCACAUGGUAUCUAGACUUGGCUGCCUCGAAUUCUGGAUCAUAUCUCCUGGGUGGAAUUCCUCUAUUAUUCCGAGGGGGUAGAAUAUAUUGGCCUGUUUCAGGAACCUCAAGGGAAAUGGGUUCACUGGUGAGGUUAUUAGGAACAGGGAAAAGUUCAGAUUCACAUACCUCAGUUGUGUGUUCCUCAGGAUAUUCUACGGUGUCAGGUUCUGGUUGUGACAUUGAGGCCGAGGACUGUACUAAAUGGUCAGUGUCUCCCGGUUCUGGUGUAGACUCAAGAAGGGAAGAAUGAUCAAGUUUUGGCCCCCCCCCCCUGACUAAGCCAAUUUGGCAGUGGUGGUGAUUGUGCCGCUGUCUCCCCCUCACUGCUAGUUGGCGAGGGAAAAAAAUAUUCCUCUUCCAGAAAGGUGCAGUCCAUGGUGGUGAAGAUCCGUUUAGAGAUUGGGUCAAAACACCGAUAACCCUUUUUAUGUACACCAUAUCCAAAGAAAACACAUUUAAGAGCACAUGGAUCAAGUUUAGUGCGGUGUGUUUUAGGAAUGUGAACAUAAACUGUGCAGCCAAAAAUUUUAGGUGGAAGGUUGAGAUGGGAAGGGAUGGUAUGAUGAGAGGACAAGGUAUGCAAGGGAGAUUGGAAAUUAAGAACGCGAGACGGAAGUCGAUUGAUGAGGUAAAUGGACGUGGCAACUGCUUCAGACCAAAACUUAGGAGGAACUUGGGCUUCAAACAAUAGGGCUCGGGCAAUCUCAAGAAUAUGUCGAUUUUUCCUUUCAGCGACCCCAUUUUGCAAGAUUAUAGGAAGAAAACUGUUUUUAUUUUCUUACCUCUUGUGUAGUAAGUUACAGUGUUUAUAUAGUACAUAAUAUGAACAAUUAGACCUUUGAUUGUGCCCUCAAUUAUGUCCUAGAAUUGCUAUGCUAAACAUGGUAAGAUUUGAUCACUGAUUGAUUUACAAUCAUGACAGGGGAUUCUUUCCAACAUAUUUAUCUCCAUUUUCUUAUAGCAUAAAAGGAGAACGAUAUCAGAGAUCGAAGUAUGCUAUCUUCUCACACAAAUACUCUGAACUUUAAGUAAUUUUUUACUCCCGCCUUGUUUUUCAGUUUACUGACUUGAGUAUCAGAGUGGCUGUCGUAGGUGUCAACCACCUCACACACACUUUCUCGCAGGAUUAGCCAAUCGUGCACAACAACUCAGUUCCGCUUUGGCCACAUCACCAUUUUUCAGUUCCAGCAACAUCAUUAGUUUCGCUGUCGGGAGAUCCAUUGAAUUUUCUCUGUUUAUUUGGAUUAAAACCGAUUUUCUAUCCCUUUUAUCUUAAAAGAAACCUUUUCUUUUAUUUUCUUUUGAAUGGUUGGCAUUUCACGAGUUGAUAAUAAGGUUCCUGCCAAUGAAGAUACCAUUAUAUCUUCCAUUCCUAGCAAUGAAUAAAUCACAUCUUCUAGGGUUCAUGAGCCAAAUUUUAACAAUAUGAGCACUGAGCAAAUGCUUCAGUAUGUCAGAAGAUUACGGAUUAUUUUUUAGUGGUGGAAAGCUCGGGAAGAGACGUCACUCAUGGCUCCUAAAACAAGAGAGGAAGUCUCCAUUGAUACCUUAAAGUCUCGGCCAGGAGCAAUCCAGACAUGGUCCAAAGGGAAGAACAAGAUCGAGGAAGAUGAGGUAUCAGACGAUGCUCCGAAAGACAUCGACCGGAGGCUAAUACAAGCUACUCCAAUGUACCAGGGAGGAUAGAAAGAAAAUAAAAAGAUGAGCCAAAAGCAAGACCAAAAGUAAAAAAAAAAAUAAAGAUAUGAGAGAGAUCACAAAAGUGACCAAGUCUCCCAAAAGAGGGAGAAUCAAAGUAAGUGUAAGAAUUAUAGUCCAUUGAAUGAUUUAUGAAUACAUAUUCUAAUGUGGAUUAGGAAGAGUGACAGGUAGGUCGGGUGGCCUCUCAAGCUCAAUCCAAAGGAAGCUGAAAAGCGAGAUAGGACUAGAUAUUACUGUUUUCAUAAAGACCAUGGAUAUAUAAUAGAGGAGCGCAGGCAUUUGAAAUGCGAGAUCGAAAGGUUAAAAACGGCACACUUCGAAAGUUCAUCAGAAAGAGUAGAAAAGAUAAGAGGUCUAAACUCGAGAUCACAAUUUCCAAAAUCACCCUUGACAGUAAACCUAUGAAAGAUUAUUCAUGUGAUUUAAGGAGAACCGAAGUUAAUAGGGGACCCCUGAAUCAAACUCUAAGAUUUUGAUAUUAGUCAAGUUAGAUAACCGAGUCUUUUAUUUUAUUUCUAAAAAGAGGUAAUUCGUGAAAAAUAUUAUAAAUAAAAGUAUUAUGUAUUCUUUAACAUUUUCUUUUAUCAAAAAAAUUGGAUGGAUAAAAGUGUGGAGAUAGAACCAAAGGCCAUAAGGCCGUCCGGACAGGGUCUCAGACUGGGCAUGGGUCCCACACAUAUAUUAGUCUUUGAAAACAAAUGCCACAAGGCUAUCCGGACAGAGGUCCCAGAUCGGGCAUAAGUUUUGCACAUAUUUUAGGCAUUGGUCCGCAGAAACAAAGAUCACAAGACCAUUCAGCAGAGGUCCCGGAUCGGGCAUGGAUCCCGCAUCAUAAUUUGGACGUUGAUCCACAGAAACGAACUCAUAAAAGCAAUGGAUAACUCAUCAGCAAUUGGACGAGUGUCGCUCAUGUAUUCGGCUACAGGGUGACUGCCUUUGGUGAUACGAGCAAGUUGGUCUUGUAAAUGAAUGAUUCGGGUUUGAGAUUUGCUGCCAAAAGCAGUUUGAAGAGAGGUCCAUACUUUGCAAGCAAUGGAAGCAUUUGUGAUCGAAUAAGCAAGUGUGGGAACAACAGAAGCUAAUAUGGCAUUAUGAACUAAUUUAUCUUGUUGAAACCAUUUCUGGUAAGCCGGAUUGGAAGUAGUAUUGUUGUCAAUAGUGAUUGUUUAUGGUGGGGCAGGGAAGCUACCAUCUAGAUAGCCAUGAAUAUUGUGUCCAUACAUUGAGCAUGGAGACUUGGGAUUUCUAAGUUGUGUAGUUGCUGCUGCCUGUGAGUUUGAGAGGUAACUGAGAUGCUGGAUUAAAUUGCACUACAAUGUUAGUGCCGGUGGUGAUGUCAGAGUUGACAGCGUUUAUAGUUGAGGCCAUUAUGAGAUCGGAAACUGUGGGCGACGAAGGGAAAAAUAAAUAAAUCAAUACUCGUUGGAGUGUAUUAUUACUCUGAUACUAUAAGAGAUAUUUAAGUAAAUGGAGAAAUUUAUAUUUUAUUCAAUAAUAAAUUAAGUAUAUAUAAGUAAUAUAUUCAACACAGUUCUAAAAUAAUCUCAAUAAUAUAAUUGAAAUAUAAAAAAUAAAAAAAUAAAAAAUCAAUCAAUAAAAAUUAAAAUUAAGAAAAAUUAAAUAAAAAAAUAAUAAAAUAGUGGACUUGGUGAUCAGCAUUUGAAACAGUUGGUUAUUAAUUUGCAGCAGAAUAAAGACAUCUCUUGCUAAUUCCGUCAAAAAUAUAAAAGGAUGAACGAGGAAUUUGUGGGCUAUAUAUGAACGAGGAAUUGUGAGCCCACAAAAAUAACCUUAAUUUAAAUAUUAUUUUAUAAUUUUAAUUAUAAUAUAAUUAUAUGUUAGAAAUUCUUAAUAAUAAUUUAAGUAAAAGCCUAUUUAUGUGCAUACAGUAGUAUUAUUUUAGAAUUUUGAUUUUAAUAUAAUUAUAUUGUAAAUGGAAAUCAAUUGUCUUUUUAAAAUUAGAAUUCUAAUCAAUAUUUACAUUUAAAUAUAAACAUUUUAAUUUCAAUUUAAUUUUAUUUAAAUUUUAAAUGCCUUUAAUGGCUAAGUCUAUAAAAAAAAAAAAAGAAUUUUGAACAAUAAUAUAAAUGAAACGUUGAGAAUCUACGCAUGUAAAUUGUGGAUAGUGUAUGUGUAUAGAUUAUAUAGAAUUAGAGUGUUUAAAAUCACCAUAAUUUUAAAAUUAAUUGUUUUUUAAUAAAAAAAAUUAAUUUUAUAAAAUAUAAAAAUAUUUUAAUUAAAUAAUUUUUAAAUAUAAAUGAACUAAUAAUUUUUUACCCAUUAUAAUUCUCUCAUAUGGUUUGGAAUUUUUGUUUUAAAUGAAAAUUGAAAAUUGAAUAUUGAAAAUUGGAGAGUAGAAUUAGACAUCUAUUAGAUUUACUCAAAUACACUUAUUAUAAGACUAAAUUUGUGAGUGCAUAGUUUGGGAUAUUAUUAAAUUUUAAAAUACCACAAACAUUAUAUAAAUAUAUAAACCCAUGAGGCGAAAACAUAGCAGGAAACUUAUAAGCAUACAUGUCAAUUAUUGAGAUGGCAAGAGCACCAUUUAUUUACUUGGAUUCCCCUCAAUAGAAACAUCCAACACUUUACCUAACAACGUACCCAAGAUUAUAAGCAUACUUGACGAGAUCUUCCAUUUCUGACAUGUCCACAACUCCAUCUCCAUUAGAAUCAGCAAGUUUGAUUCCUUGACGGGCCUGUUGAGCAGGGAACAUAGCACCAAGAUAAUUGAAAGCUUGUCUAAUCUCUUCCCGGCUAAGAACGUUGUCUCCAUUCAGAUCGAACUUCAUGAAGAUUUGCCUCACUUGGUCUUCAGUCAGGGGAGCAGGAGCACUUCUGUAACUGUUCACACGGCGGGGAUUGGAGGGAAUAUGAUAUGAACAUGGUGGUGGUGGAGUUGGGUUGCUUGGAAACCAAGCAGAUUGGGCAACAGCAGGAGAUGAUCCCCAGAAAGCACCAUUUGCGGGCUUGUCAUUGCACAUUGAGGGCUUCUCCUCAUGCAUUGGCUGAUGGUUUUGGGAAUGGAAAGGAAAAGGAGUGAUGUUAUAUUCUUGGGUGUAUUGGAUAGAGUAAGACAUGGUUUUCAAGUGGUGAGGGGACUUAAACAGGUUUUGAGUUUGUAGUUUUCUUGA
rnacentral:lncRNA from 1 species